CAAAGGUGAAACUCAAGGGAAUUCUCGGGGGCCCGCACAAGCGGAGGAACAUGUGGUUUAAUUCGAUGAUACGCGAGGAUCCUUACCCGGGCUUAAAUUGCAGAUGAAUUACGGUGAAAGCGGUAAGCCGCAAGGCAUCUGUGAAGGUGCUGCAUGGUUUUCGUCAGCUCGUUCCGUGAGGUGUCGGCUUAAGUGCCAUAACGAGCGCAACCCUUGUUGUGAGUUACUAACAGGUUCUGGUGAGGACUGUGACAAGACUGCCAUUGUAAGAUGUGAGGAAGGUGGGGAUGACGUCAAAUCAGCACGGCCCUUACGUCCGGGGCUACACACGUGUUACAAUGGGGGGUACAGAGGGCCGCUACCACGGGAGUGGAUGCCAAUCCCAAAAACCUCUAUCAGUUCGGACUGGAGUCUGCAACCCGACUCCACGAAGCUGGAUUCGGUAGUAAUCGCGCAUCAGCCACGGCGCGGUGAAUACGUUCCCGGGCCUUGUCCACACCGCCCGUCAAGCCAUGGGAG
rnacentral:rRNA from 1 species